rnacentral:hammerhead_ribozyme from 1 species
AUUCAGCUGACGAGUCCCAAAUAGGACGGAACGCGUGUCUUUUAU